GCCUGGGUGGCUCAGUGGGUUAAAGCCUCUGCCUUCAGCUCAGGUCAUGAUCCCAGGGUCGUGGGAUCAAGCCCCGCAUCAGGCU
rnacentral:tRNA from 1 species